CAAGAAGAAAGGGUUCAGGAACUAUGACUGUGGUAUGUCCACAAAAAUCGUAUCACAGCCACAGUUACCUUCGACACUUUGUUUCUA